rnacentral:tRNA from 1 species
GGAAAUAGCUCAGUGGUAACGUGCGUGCUUAGCAUGCACGAGGUCCUGGGUUCAAUUCCCACUACUUCCA